CCUACGGGAGGCAGCAGUGAGGAAUAUUGGUCAAUGGACGCAAGUCUGAACCAGCCAUGCCGCGUGCAGGAAGACGGCUCUAUGAGUUGUAAACCGCUUUUGUACGAGGGUAAACGCAGAUACGCGUAUCUGUCUGAAAGUAUCGUACGAAUAAGGAUCGGCUAACUCCGUGCCAGCAGCCGCGGUAAUACGGAGGAUUCAAGCGUUAUCCGGAUUUAUUGGGUUUAAAGGGUGCGUAGGCGGUCGGAUAAGUUAGAGGUGAAAUCCCGAGGCUCAACUUCGGAAUUGCCUCUGAUACUGUUCGGCGAGAGAGUAGUUGCGGUAGGCGGAAUGUGUGGUGUAGCGGUGAAAUGCUUAGAGAUCAUACAGAACACCGAUUGCGAAGGCAGCUUACCAGGCUACUACUGACGUUGAGGCACGAAAGCGUGGGGAGCAAACAGGAUUAGAUACCCGAGUAGUC
rnacentral:rRNA from 1 species